CUUUACAAUCGGUUCAUGACGACGACGACACGAAUCAUUUCAGUUCAUUUAACUUUGCCAAAAGGCAGGUCACUUUUAAUUGUUCAGGUGCGUCUGUUAAACUGGUAUUCAUUAUCAUACUUUGUUUUUAAAUUGAGAACCAAGACACUUGUUUCCCCAAUAUUCGUAAUCGAAAACGUGUUCCACUGCAGCGUAUAUUUAUAAGAUGGCUAGCAUUUGGUAUAUUUUGACGACUCUCGUCAUACUUACGAGCGAGACGGCGUUGGGUUACGAUAAUCAUCGAUGUUCGGAUUUCGGAUCAUGGCAGCAGGGUUGUGCAGGACCAGAUACCUCGGCCUGCGCUGUACCAACCGAGUCCGGAGCAUAUUGCAUUUCUCGAUGCUUCAAUGGGGCCUGCAGUUGGUCCCAUGAUGCUGCACGUGACUUUAAAAAAUACAUCUGCAAUACCUAUGGUUAUGCAGCCGAUUUUGUUGCGGCAGAAAAUGGUGAAACCGAUUUGGCUAUACACAGAUAUAAGAGCUCAACUUGUGCCAGUUAUGAUAAUACAUUCGAUUUUGUACCAUACGCUCAAAGAUACCCGGGAACGCAACAACCCCCCAAUGACCGGAUUCCUAAAUAGAUUUUGAUCGACACUUUCGUUGAGUAAAUAUUUUGAAGAUGACAAUAAAAUCAACUCUUUCCAUUGUAA